CACGUAGGGGGCAAGCGUUGUCCGGAUUUAUUGGGCGUAAAGAGCUCGUAGGCGGUUCGGUAAGUCGGGUGUGAAACCUCCAGGCUCAACCUGGAGACGCCACCCGAUACUGCUGUGACUAGAGUCCGGUAGGGGAGCGUGGAAUUCCUGGUGUAGCGGUGAAAUGCGCAGAUAUCAGGAGGAACACCAAUGGCGAAGGCAGCUCGCUGGGACGGUACUGACGCUGAGACGCGAAAGCGUGGGGAGCAAACAGG
rnacentral:rRNA from 1 species